CGUCAGCACCUGUGGCACUUCCUUAGGUGCUGGACAGGUGACAGCUGGCAUCUGUCUGCCCCUUCUGGAACCGAGACCACUGUCCCAGGAUGGCAGGACCGGCUACUGCGCUUGACCCUUGGCACGUGCGGAGCGACAGGGCAUGUGAAAUGUCACACAAGUUUUCUGUCACUUUGAAGUUGGCUUUCUCUUGGUUCAGCAUGCAUUUAUUUACUGCUGUGAGCACCCCCUUUUUCUCCUCAGCAAUCCGGCAAAGUUGAUUCUGACAGCGUAUUUGUUUUUGAUGUUUCUGUGGGGUUAGGAGCUCCGAGCUGCCCACUGUGCCAAUGUGCUGACCGGAUUAGACGCUGGAAAUCUUCAAACUAGGGUACAAGACAGAUUUGCUCUCCUUAUGUAUAAUUUUUUAAAACUAAAACGUGUCACAGAGCUGUCUGUGGCUAAGUGUGUGAAUUUUGGAGGCAGAUGGUCUGAAUUUUGGUCCUUUCUGUGCUACUGGAAAAUUUGUAGUAGUAAGGGAUGUAGCUCAGCGGCACAGCACCUGCUUGGUAAGCUCAGGUUGUGAGUUCGAUUCCUGGUACCAAAAAACCCCAAAAACUUACUGUAGUAAGUUGUGUAACCUCUAAACACCAGCUUCCUAUCUGGAGAGCGGGGUGUUGAGGAGGCUUACCAGGCUUUUUUGUGGUACAGUCCGUGGUACGCGCUGGCCCAUGUUUGCCCAUCAGCUCUCGGAAGGGAAGGAGCGGGUCACCCUGACUGUGAGGUUUGCCAGUUUUUGGGGUGGAAAUAGUCUGGAUGCGGCUGAUCUUAAGGUGCCAGUGUGAGCCCUUCUAAUGUACAGUGGAGGAGGCUUUCACACCGCCUGGUCCAGGAGCCAGUGGGGGCCAAUCAAUAAACAGCAUCACCUUCUGUUUCCCUGACAGAAAGAAUCAAAUCCAGUGACAGUGGAUGAUUCCCGAAAAGUUAGGGCCUGUAACUGCCCCGCCUCUAGUGCUGCGUGUUCUGAAGUACCUGCCGCUCCGCUCGCGGCUCUUUGCGGUGCCCUCUCCAGGUGGCCUGACUUGGUCAGGAUCGUUCCACGUCCCCAUUCCCUCUCCCGCUGCGUCACUGUUUACAGACAACACAGGCAGUGGGAGAAGAGUCGCUGCCCAGGUCUGCCGUCCUCUGGCAGCUCCCCGGCCUGGAAGGGCUUGUUCCUAACUGAUUAGCCAACAAGCUGUGUGGGGGCGUCAGCCCACCUGGGUCCUGGGCCUGCCAGCAGUCACCAGCCCGCCGUGCUUGUCGCUUGGGCACAUGCAUAGGUCUGUCAGCUACUCUGCCCAGGCAAGCAGUUCUGCAAACGUCAUGUCCUGUCACAUCCUGUCACAUAGCAAUGUAUUCAGACCCAGGCUCGGGCCACUUUGAGUAACAAACACUGUCCUACCUAGGAACCUAGGCACCUCGACCUCAUCACUUUGCCAAGUCAUUUGCUACCCCUUGUUCUCCUCUACCCACACAUCUAUCCAGCCACUGACCCGUCCAUCUGUCCAUCCAUCUAUCCAUCCAUCCUCCACUCAUCCACCCGUCCAUCCCUUCAUCCACCCACCUAUCCAUCCAUCUAUCCACUCACCCACCCAUCCACUCAUUCAUCCAUCCAUCAGGGCAUUCGUCUCUCCAUCCACCAUUCACCCACCCAUUCAUCCAUUCAUCCACCCACCUGUCCAUCCAUCUAUCCACUCACCCAUUCAUCCAUCCAUCCACACAAGGCUUCUAGAGUGUUAAUGGCUUCAAGUACAAAGAUGAUCCUUACUAUCUAUAAACUGCGUGGUCCUUACUAUCUAUAAACUCUCAGCCUGUGAUGGGGUAAGGUAGAAUGGAGACAGAUAUGUUAAAAAAAUAAAAAUUAAAUUGCAAAGACUAAGUGUGGUAAGGGAAAGUACCAGAGUGCCUGGGAGACGUGCUGGGAGACUUCCGGAGUUCUGCCAGCCUGGGGGUUCCAGGAAGUUUUUGUGGUGUGCCCAUGGCAGAGGGGAAGGUGGACGAUCUGGGGGGCAGUAUGAUAGACCUCAGGGACCAGGCUCGGGGCUGGGCUCCCCAGCAGCAGGGACUCUUUCCUUUGUUGCCUUGCAUCUUAGAACUUUGAGCCCUGGUUUGUUGUUAAGAAAAAAAAACCCCACCUUUUGUGGAGCUUACGGCAUGACAGAGACUGUACUUUCUAUUCAUUAUUGAACUUAAUCUUCACAACAGCCUUAGAAACUUUUUUCACCCUCACUUUAAAAUAAAACUGAGCUUUCACAUAGUAGUGUGCAAGGUCACAUCACGUAGGAAUGGGCUGAGCUAUGACCCAUCUGUGAUUCACUGCCCAGCCUGCGGUCUUAGAAACACAAGUUGGUAAUACGUGGUGUAGUUGAGGGACCGGGCAGUGGUUCCACAGCCCCAAACGCUGACCCCACAACUUCUCCAUUUUGUAAUGCUCGUGCCUGAAACCGUCUUGCUCCUAGCUGGGCUGACUGCAGAACUCCGAAAGUGCCAUGUUGAAGGGCGCAGAGGUGCCUGUGGAAAAAGCCUCCAAAAGAUGCCGGGGACUGGGGCUGCCGCGGGCAGUGCUGGGUCAAUGGCUAACCUGCUCCAGAGUGAGUGGGCCGAUGUGGUUCCUCAAUAAUGUGCGGCGUUCAUACAGUCAGCAAACACUUGUCACGCGUGUCCGGAUGCUGGGCCUGAGUGUUGGCGUUCACACUGCACUCCUGAAGGAAGGCAGCUUGCGCAAUCUUCGAAGAGCCAAAGGAAGGACAACUUGCUGGGUGUUUACGAAUAAAUAGGUUAUUUCCUUUAGUGUUGACUUGAACUUUGUACACUUGUGUGUACAGUGACUGACCCGAAGCCCAGGAGGUAAAGCCACCCGUUAAGUUCCUAGGGGCGGGUCUCUGCUUGGCGCCGCGGCACCCUGCUUCGGGGGAUGUGCUUAGUUUGCCGCCUACUGAAAAUGAGCAUCUGAAUGUCUCUGCCGGGCCUCCUGACUCCACAGGAAAAGAACAGCGCUCUGCGGCUCACUGUGCCGCCUGUGUUCAAGUCUCACUUCCUGCUGCACAGUGGGGGACCUUGAGCAGGUCACCUCGCGUCACCUCACAAGGGGACCCUGAGAAAAGAAGAAGGUGGCAGGGCCCGGGGGACACUGAGUCAUGUGCAUGCCUUUCUCGGCUCUUCCUGGCUAGAACACAAGUGGACGUCUCUAGCAGUGUCCAGUAAACUGAAGCUCACCAGACCCCGUGCCCGACCGGUGGCAGGCACUCUAGAGGCCCACCACGAGUGGAACACGAGCCGUGUGGUACGGCCGCCCUCUGUCUGCAGGACCUGCACCCACAGACUCAACCGACCAUGGGGAAGAUACUCGGGAGCCCUCUCCGGGCCUUCCUCCCUCCGCAGGACUCCUCCCAGGUUUGGUACUCAGUCACCAGUCACCAGGGGAGAGUGCGUCCAGUGGGAGGAGCUCCAGUGCCACGCUGUGCCCUCAGUGAGGGGAUGCCCUCGGUCACCGCAGCGGCAGAGCCCGGCUGGGAGCAGCCCUGGAAGCGAGGGCCGCUGCACGAGCUGCAGGAUUAGUGUGGCCUGCAGGGGACACAUGAAGGCUAUGCACCUAAAAAUAAACCUCAUCUUUUUUAUUUUUCAA